rnacentral:rRNA from 1 species
CAGCACUAAGUGGGUGGUAAACUCCAUCUAAAACUAAAUAUAACCAUGAGACCGAUAGCAAACAAGUACCGUGAGGGAAAGUUGAAAAGAACUCUGAAUAGAGAGUUAAAUAGUACGUGAAACUGCUUAGAGGUUAAGCCCGAUGAACCUGAAUAUCCGUUGUAGAAAAUUCAUCAUCAAUUGUGUGAUAUUUUUUAAAAUAUCGUAUCAAUGGUGUGCACUUUUUCUACUUAAGGACAUUGUAAUCCGUUAAUGUUUGAAUGCGUAUUAUAAGAACAUUUACAAUAGUUUUUACAUUAUUUAACUUGUUAAAUAUGUUUAAAUGUGAAUGCUUCGAAUAUGCCAUUGACGGAUUUUUACGUAUAUUGCACUUAAAUCCUUCGGGAUUUUAUAAUAAUAUGAUUAUCAUUGAUUUUUGUAUUUAUUAUAUGUGCAUAUAUGAUUGACAAUGCGAAAGAUUCAGGAUACCUUCGGGACCC